rnacentral:rRNA from 1 species
UACGUAGGCAGCGAGCGUUGUUCGGAGUUACUGGGCGUAAAGAGUGCGUAGGCGGUUUUCUAAGUUUGGUGUGAAAUCUCCCGGCUCAACUGGGGGGGUGCGCCGAAGACUGGAAGGCUUGAGUAUGGGAGAGGUAAGCGGAAUUCCUGGUGUAGCGGUGAAAUGCGUAGAUAUCAGGAGGAACACCUGCGGUGUAGACGGCUUACUGGACCAUAACUGACGCUGAGGCACGAACGCGUGGGUAGCAAACAGG